rnacentral:rRNA from 1 species
UUCCGGUUGAUCCUGCCGGAGGCGACCGCUUUGGGAGUUCGAUUAAGCCAUGCGAGUCGUGAGUCUUAGGGACUCGGCAUACUGCUCAGUAACACGUGGAUAACCUGCCCUAUCGUCUGGAAUAACCUCGGGAAACUGAGAAUAAGGCCGGAUAGUUCACAAUGCCUGGAACGGUUUGUGAAUCAAGGUAGGAUGGGUCUGCGGCGUAUCAGGUUGUAGGGGGUGUAAAGGACCCCCUAGCCUUCGACGCGUACGGGUGUUGGGAGACAUAGCCCGGAGAUGGAUUCUGAGACACGAAUCCAGACCCUACGGGGUGCAGCAGGCGCGAAAACUUCACACUGCAGGAAACUGUGAUGAGGGAACUCCUAGUGCAUGCACUAUGUGUAUGUAGAUCCUACUCUUAACAAGUAGAGGGAAAGGGCUGGGAAAGACCGGUGCCAGCCGCCGCGGUAAUACCGGCAGCUCAAGUGGUCGUCGCUUUUAUUGGGCCUAAAACGUCCGUAGCCUGUUUGGUAAAUCUGUGGGUAGAUCAAUCCGCUCAACGGAUUGAAUUCUGCAGAGACUGCCAGACUAGGGACCGGGAGAGGUGUGGGGUACUCGAGGGGUAGGGGUAAAAUCCUGUCAUCCUUCGAGGACCACCAGUUGCGAAGGCGCCACACUGGAACGGAUCCGACGGUCAGGGACGAAGCCUAGGGGCACGAACCGGAUUAGAUACCCGGGUAGUCCUAGGUGUAAACGCUGUGAACUUGGUGUCGGGGGUCCGCAAGGGGUCCCCGGUGCCGGAGUGAAGAUGUUAAGUUCACUGCCUGGGGAGUACGGUCGCAAGGCUGAAACUUAAAGGAAUUGGCGGGGCAGCAC